rnacentral:rRNA from 1 species
AAGCGGUGGAGCAUGUGGUUUAAUUCGUAAGCAACGCGAAGAACCUUACCAGGUCUUGACAUCCCGAUGCUAUUUCUAGAGAUAGAAAGUUACUUCGGUACAUCGGUGACAGGUGGUGCAUGGUUGUCGUCAGCUCGUGUCGUGAGAUGUUGGGUUAAGUCCCGCAACGAGCGCAACCCCUAUUGUUAGUUGCCAUCAUUCAGUUUGGGCACUCUAGCGAGACUGCCGGUAAUAAACCGGAGGAAGGUGGGAUGACGUCAAAUCAUCAUGCCCCUUAUGACCUGGGCUACACACGUGCUACAAUGGUUGGUACAACGAGUUGCGAGUCGGUGACGGCGAGCUAAUCUCUUAAAGCCAAUCUCAGUUCGGAUUGUAGGCUGCAACUCGCCUACAUGAAGCCGGAAUCGCUAGUAAUCGCGGAUCAGCCAUGCCGCGGUGAAUACGUUCCCGGGCCUU